GUGCGAGACCGAUAGCGAACAAGUACCGUGAGGGAAAGAUGAAAAGAACUCUGAAAAGAGAGUUAAAUAGUACCUGAAACUGUUGAAAGGGAAUCGUAUCGUUCCAGUGUCGAAUCCUUUGUAUAUAUCAUCGGCGGAUGUUGGUGUGUGCGUGCGUGUGCGAGUAGUUUAUUCUGCCGUGCUGUGUGUGCGCGCUAGUGUUUGCCGGUGCUCUGUGCAUUGGUGUGACGUCAAAGUCAGUUUGUACAUCGCGGGAAAUGGUUUGGUGGGGAGGUACCUCAGGUGCUUUUGUGCUUGGGCGUUAUACCCCGUUUUACUAGUAGUCGUGGUUGAGACUGAGGUGCCUAC
rnacentral:rRNA from 2 species